GACGAACGCUGGCGGCGUGCUUAACACAUGCAAGUCGAACGAUGAAGCCGGAGCUUGCUCUGGUGAAUUAGUGGCGAACGGGUGAGUAACACGUGAGUAACCUGCCCUUGACUCUGGGAUAACUGCGGGAAACUGUAGCUAAUACCGGAUACGACCCUCGGAGGCAUCUCCUGGGGGUGGAAAGAAUUUCGGUCAAGGAUGGACUCGCGGCCUAUCAGCUAGUUGGGGAGGUAAAGGCUCACCAAGGCGACGACGGGUAGCCGGCCUGAGAGGGUGACCGGCCACACUGGGACUGAGACACGGCCCAGACUCCUACGGGAGGCAGCAGUGGGGAAUAUUGCACAAUGGGCGCAAGCCUGAUGCAGCAACGCCGCGUGAGGGAUGACGGCCUUCGGGUUGUAAACCUCUUUUAGCAGGGAAGAGGCGAAAGUGACGGUACCUGCAGAAAAAGCACCGGCUAACUACGUGCCAGCAGCCGCCGUAA
rnacentral:rRNA from 1 species